rnacentral:rRNA from 1 species
CGCGUAGGCGGCCUGAUAAGUCAGAUGUGAAAGUCCACGGCUCAACCGUGGAAGUGCAUUUGAAACUGUCAGGCUUGAGUAUCGGAGGGGAGUGUGGAAUUCCCGGUGUAGAGGUGAAAUUCGUAGAGAUCGGGAGGAACACCGGUGGCGAAGGCGACACUCUGGACGAAUACUGACGCUGAGGCGCGAAAGCGUGGGGAGCAAACG